rnacentral:rRNA from 1 species
UACGUAGGGUGCAAGCGUUGUCCGGAAUUAUUGGGCGUAAAGAGCUUGUAGGCGGUUUGUCGCGUCUGCUGUGAAAUUUCGGGGCUCAACCCCGAACUUGCAGUGGGUACGGGCAGACUAGAGUGUGGUAGGGGAGACUGGAAUUCCUGGUGUAGCGGUGAAAUGCGCAGAUAUCAGGAGGAACACCAAUGGCGAAGGCAGCUCGCUGGAACGGUACUGACGCUGAGGAGCGAAAGCGUGGGGAGCGAACAGG